rnacentral:rRNA from 1 species
UACGUAGGGUCCAAGCGUUAUCCGGAAUCAUUGGGCGUAAAGCGCGCGCAGGCGGCUUGGAGAGCCCGGCGUGAAAGCCCCCAGCUCAACUGGGGGAGGCCGUCGGGGACCUUCAGGCUGGAGGCCGGUAGGGGAGAGUGGAAUUCCCGGUGUAGUGGUGGAAUGCGUAGAGAUCGGGAGGAACACCAGUGGCGAAGGCGACUCUCUGGACCGGUCCUGACGCUCAGGCGCGAAAGCGUGGGGAGCGAUCCGG